rnacentral:tRNA from 1 species
GGCGAUGUGGACAAGCUGGCUAAGUCACCCGUCUUUCAAGCGGGUCAUCGCGGGUUCGAAUCCCGCCAUCGCUACCA